rnacentral:rRNA from 1 species
AUUGAACGCUGGCGGCAGGCCCAACACAUGCAAGUCGAGCGGAUGAAGGGAGCUUGCUCCUGGAUUCAGCGGCGGACGGGUGAGUAAUGCCUAGGAAUCUGCCUGGUAGUGGGGGAUAACGUCCGGAAACGGGCGCUAAUACCGCAUACGUCCUGAGGGAGAAAGUGGGGGAUCUUCGGACCUCACGCUAUCAGAUGAGCCUAGGUCGGAUUAGCUAGUUGGUGGGGUAAAGGCCUACCAAGGCGACGAUCCGUAAUUGGUCUGAGAGGAUGAUCAGUCACACUGGAACUGAGACACGGUCCAGACUCCUACGGGAGGCAGCAGUGGGGAAUAUUGGACAAUGGGCGAAAGCCUGAUCCAGCCAUGCCGCGUGUGUGAAGAAGGUCUUCGGAUUGUAAAGCACUUUAAGUUGGGAGGAAGGGCAGUAAGUUAAUACCUUGCUGUUUUGACGUUACCAACAGAAUAAGCACCGGCUAACUUCGUG